AAUGUACUCCCUCCGUUCCAAAAUUCUUGUCUUAGAUUUGCCUAGAUACGGAUGUAUCUAAUACUAAAACGUGACUUGAUACAUCCAUACUUAAACAAAUUUAAGACAAGAAUUUUGAGACGGAUGGAGUAGUAA
rfam:Triticum aestivum genome assembly, contig: Triticum_aestivum_CS42_TGACv1_scaffold_591848_7BS